CGUGAACUAAACAGUCAUAUAUUUAGUAUAAGUUAUAUUACGUGAAAGUGUGUAAAUAUAUAAUGAGGGUUUGGGUGAUCCUGAUCGUUUCCUGUCAUUGUACGAAGGUUAUAGAUGGUAUAGAUAUUACAGUAUGUAAAGAAGGUGGAAACUUCCCAUCAGUGAAUCUGACUUGUCCUACCAAUGAUGAUAUGAUACAUGUAGAGAGUAUUGGGUAUUUUUAUAAUCAAGGAUCUGAUUGUGGUGGUAGUUCUACAGAGAUAUGUGGUCAACCAUUGACUAAUAGUGAUACAGGUUUAAUAACAUCUUGUAUUGGACAACCAUCACCAUGUUUACAAUAUAUACCUAAUUAUAGUAAUUGUACAGGAAGUACUGUUAACUAUAGAUGUAUUCCAAGAGAAAAUGGUCAGGAUAUGUGUCAAAGCAAAUUUACUUUAAAAGAAGAUCCAGUCAGAAUAUUUCUAUUUUCACCAAAUUAUCCAACAGCAACGAGUGGCUUUAAAUCAAAUGAACCAACUUGUAAAUGUGAUAUACGUGGUACAAGUAUAACAUCUAUAACUAUAUUAGAUCUUAGAUUAAAAACAUCUAGUGAUGGAACAAGAUCUAAUUUAUUUAU